rnacentral:tRNA from 1 species
AUUUUUGUAGUUGAAAUACAACAAUGCUUUUUCAUACCACAGGUAAUGGUUAAAAUCCAUGCUAAAAUA